rnacentral:rRNA from 1 species
UGGGGAAUUUUGGACAAUGGGGGAAACCCUGAUCCAGCCAUCCCGCGUGUGCGAUGAAGGCCUUCGGGUUGUAAAGCACUUUUGGCAGGAAAGAAACGUCAUGGGUUAAUACCCCGUGAAACUGACGGUACCUGCAGAAUAAGCACCGGCUAACUACGUGCCAGCAGCCGCGGUAAUACGUAGGGUGCAAGCGUUAAUCGGAAUUACUGGGCGUAAAGCGUGCGCAGGCGGUUCGGAAAGAAAGAUGUGAAAUCCCAGAGCUCAACUUUGGAGCUGCAUUUUUAACUACCGGGUUAGAGUGUGUCAGAGGGAGGUGGAAUUCCGCGUGUAGCAGUGAAAUGCGUAGAUAUGCGGAGGAACACCGAUGGCGAAGGCAGCCUCCUGGGAUAACACUGACGCUCAUGCACGAAAGCGUGGGGAGCAAACAGG